rnacentral:rRNA from 1 species
GGGGAAUAUUGCACAAUGGGGGAAACCCUGAUGCAGCAACGCCGCGUGAGUGAUGAAGGUCUUCGGAUCGUAAAACUCUGUCUUAUGGGACGAUAAUGACGGUACCAUAGGAGGAAGCCACGGCUAACUACGUG